rnacentral:rRNA from 1 species
AGAGGACCCCUAAACUCUGUUUCUAUAUGUAACUUCUGAGUAAAACCWUAAAUAAAUCAAAACUUUCAACAACGGAUCUCUUGGUUCUGGCAUCGAUGAAGAACGCAGCAAAAUGCGAUAAGUAAUGUGAAUUGCAGAAUUCAGUGAAUCAUCGAAUCUUUGAACGCACAUUGCGCCCGCCAGUAUUCUGGCGGGCAUGCCUGUUCGAGCGUCAUUUCAACCCUCAAGCCCUCGGGUUUGGUGUUGGGGAUCGGCGAGCCUUUCUGGCAAGCCGGCCCCGAAAUCUAGUGGCGGUCUCGCUGCAGCCUCCAUUGCGUAGUAGUAAAACCCUCGCAACUGGAACGCGGCGCGGCCAAGCCGUUAAACCCCCAACUUCUGAAUGUUGACCUCGGAUCAGGUAGGAAUACCCGCUGAACUUAAGCAUAUCAAUAAGCGGAGGAA